AAAAGGAGAGAGAUGUCCCGUCCCUUCUUUAUGCACAUCCAUCUAAAUAGCAAGACACAAAGGUGUACAAUAUAUACAGGGAAGUUUGAUGCCUCUCUAUAGACC